rnacentral:rRNA from 1 species
GACGAACGCUGGCGGCGUGCUUAACACAUGCAAGUCGAACGGAAAGGCUACUUUGUGGGUACUCUAGUGGUGAAGGCGGGAGUAACAGGUGAGUAACCUGCCCUUGACUAUGGGAUAACUUCAGGAAACUGGGGCCAAUACUGGAAAGGAAUCAUUGCUGUACGGUGGGGGUUGGAAAGCUUCGGAGGGUUUGGAUGGACUUGAGGCUUAUCAGCUUGUUGGUUGGGUAGUGGCUUACCGAGGCGUUGACGGGUAGCCGGCCUGAGAGGGCGACCGGCCACAUUGGGACUGAGAUACGGCCCAGACUCCUACGGGAGGCAGCAGUGGGGAAUAUUGCACAAUGGGCGGAAGCCUGAUGCAGCAACGCCGCGUGCGGGAUGACGGCCUUCGGGUUGUAAACCGCUUUCAGCAGGGGCGAAGCUUGUGGUGACGGUACCUGCAGAAGAAGCACCGGCUAACUACGUG